CUACUUACUUGCCAAGGGUCUCAAUCGACACACCAUGAUCACAAAGGUGGCAUUUCUAAGGCAAGAUUCAUCCAUUGCAUUCGUAUUAUUCUGACCCUUGCAAUUUUUCCAAAUGUGGCAAACUCAACCUUAUAAUUUGUUGUAGUUGGGGGAGGGGCAAACAAAGCACAAA
rnacentral:snRNA from 11 species